AUUGAACGCUGGCGGCAUGCCUUACACAUGCAAGUCGAACGGUAACAGGUCUUCGGAUGCUGACGAGUGGCGAACGGGUGAGUAAUACAUCGGAACGUGCCUAGUAGUGGGGGAUAACUACUCGAAAGAGUGGUUAAUACCGCAUGAGAUCUACGGAUGAAAGCAGGGGAUCGCAAGACCUUGUGCUACUAGAGCGGCCGAUGGCAGAUUAGGUAGUUGGUGGGAUAAAAGCUUACCAAGCCGACGAUCUGUAGCUGGUCUGAGAGGACGAUCAGCCACACUGGGACUGAGACACGGCCCAGACUCCUACGGGAGGCAGCAGUGGGGAAUUUUGGACAAUGAGCGCAAGCCUGAUCCAGCAAUGCCGCGUGCAGGAUGAAGGCCUUCGGGUUGUAAACUGCUUUUGUACGGAACGAAAAGCCCCGGGUUAAUACCCUGGGGUCAUGACGGUACCGUAAGAAUAAGCACCGGCUAACUACGUGCCAGCCGCCGCAGUAA
rnacentral:rRNA from 1 species